GGAGGUGUGGCCGAGCGGUUUAAGGCAGCGGUCUUGAAAACCGCAGCCCUCACAAGGGGCCGUGGGUUCGAACCCCACCACCUCCU
rnacentral:tRNA from 1 species